UACGUAGGGGGGCAAGCGUUGUCCGGAUUUAUUGGGCGUAAAGAGCGUGUAGGCGGCCAGACAGGUCCGUUGUGAAAACUCGAGGCUCAACCUCGAGACGCCGAUGGAAACCGUCUGGCUAGAGUCCGGAAGAGGAGAGCGGAAUUCCCGGUGUAGCGGUGAAAUGCGCAGAUAUCGGGAAGAACACCCGUGGCUAAGGCGGCUACU
rnacentral:rRNA from 1 species